rnacentral:misc_RNA from 1 species
GAUGAAGAACGUAGCGAAAUGCGAUAAGUAAUGUGAAUUGCAGAAUUCAGUGAAUCAUCGAAUCUUUGAACGCACCUUGCGCCCCUUGGUUAUUCCAAAGGGCAUGCCCGUUUGAGUAUCAUGAACACCUCAACUCUUGUGGUUUCCCACAAUGAGCUUGGACUGUGGAGGUUUUGUUGGCCCUGUGGUCAGCUCCUCUCAAAUGGAUCAGCUUACCGGUGUUUGGUGGCAUUACGGGUGUGAUAACUAUCUACGCUCGUGGUCGUCUCCAAAUAACCUCCAGUGAUGGAGGUUCGCUGGAGCUUAUAAAUGUCUCUCCCCAGUGAAGACAGCCUUUGAACGUUCGAUCUCAAAUCAGGUAGGACUACCCGCUGAACUUAAGCAUAUCAAUAAGCGGAGGA